CUCAGAUUGAACGCUGGCGGCAGGCCUAACACAUGCAAGUCGAACGGUAACAGGAAGCAGCUUGCUGCUUCGCUGACGAGUGGCGGACGGGUGAGUAAUGUCUGGGAAACUGCCUGAUGGAGGGGGAUAACUACUGGAAACGGUAGCUAAUACCGCAUAACGUCGCAAGACCAAAGAGGGGGACCUUCGGGCCUCUUGCCAUCAGAUGUGCCCAGAUGGGAUUAGCUAGUAGGUGGGGUAACGGCUCACCUAGGCGACGAUCCCUAGCUGGUCUGAGAGGAUGACCAGCCACACUGGAACUGAGACACGGUCCAGACUCCUACGGGAGGCAGCAGUGGGGAAUAUUGCACAAUGGGCGCAAGCCUGAUGCAGCCAUGCCGCGUGUAUGAAGAAGGCCUUCGGGUUGUAAAGUACUUUCAGCGGGGAGGAAGGCGAUGUGGUUAAUAACCGCGUCGAUUGACGUUACCCGCAGAAGAAGCACCGGCUAACUCCGUGCCAGCAGCCGCGGUAAUACGGAGGGUGCAAGCGUUAAUCGGAAUUACUGGGCGUAAAGCGCACGCAGGCGGUCUGUCAAGUCGGAUGUGAAAUCCCCGGGCUCAACCUGGGAACUGCAUCCGAAACUGGCAGGCUUGAGUCUCGUAGAGGGGGGUAGAAUUCCAGGUGUAGCGGUGAAAUGCGUAGAGAUCUGGAGGAAUACCGGUGGCGAAGGCGGCCCCCUGGACGAAGACUGACGCUCAGGUGCGAAAUGCGU
rnacentral:rRNA from 1 species